CCUACGGGAGGCAGCAGUGAGGAAUAUUGGUCAAUGGACGAGAGUCUGAACCAGCCAAGUAGCGUGAAGGAUGACGGCCCUAUGGGGUGUAAACUUCAUUUAGAAAGGAAUAAAACGAGGCACGUGUGCCGUUGUGCAGGUACUUUAUGAAUAAGGAUCGGCAAAAUCCGUGCCACCAGCCGCGGUAAUACGGAGGAUCCGAGCGGUAUCAUGAUUUAUUGGGUUUAAAGGGAGCGUAGGUGGGUUGUUAAGUCAGUUGUGAAAGUUUGCGGCGCAACCGUAAAAUUGCAAUUGAUACUGGCAGUCUUGAGUACAGUUGAGGUAGGCGGAAUUCGUGGUGUAGCGGUGAAAUGCUUAGAUAUCACGAAGAACCCCGAUUGCGAAGGCAGCUUACUAAACUGUGACUGACAUUGAUGCUCGAAAGUGUGGGUAUCAAACAGGAUUAGAUACCCCAGUAGUC
rnacentral:rRNA from 1 species